rnacentral:rRNA from 1 species
UACAGAGGUCCCGAGCGUUGUUCGGAUUCAUUGGGCGUAAAGGGUGCGUAGGUGGCAUGGUAAGUCGGGUGUGAAAUCCCGGGGCUCAACCCCGGAACUGCACUCGAUACUACCGUGCUCGAGUACUGGAGAGGAGACUGGAAUUUACGGUGUAGCAGUGAAAUGCGUAGAUAUCGUAAGGAAGACCGGUGGCGAAGGCUAGUCUCUGGACAGUUACUGACACUGAGGCACGAAGGCCAGGGGAGCAAACGGG